rnacentral:rRNA from 1 species
UGGCGGACGGGUGAGUAAUGUCUGGGAAACUGCCUGAUGGAGGGGGAUAACUACUGGAAACGGUAGCUAAUACCGCAUAACGUCGCAAGACCAAAGAGGGGGACCUUCGGGCCUCUUGCCAUCGGAUGUGCCCAGAUGGGAUUAGCUAGUAGGUGGGGUAACGGCUCACCUAAGCGACGAUCCCUAGCUGGUCUGAGAGGAUGACCAGCCACACUGGAACUGAGACACGGUCCAGACUCCUACGGGAGGCAGCAUG